rnacentral:lncRNA from 1 species
AGCCUUCGAGGCGACUACGUCGGGACUCGAUCGAGGCGACGGUGUGGGGACGGCGGCACGGCUCGACGCAGCGUCGGGGUGUCAGCAGCAGCAGCAGCGAGAACCCAGAUCUGGACCUUGACCGACCCUCUCCCUCCGGCCGAUCUCCCUCACUCCGGUCAGAUCCGAGCCUCCACCGGCCAGAUCUGACCUCCUCGGACUCGCUCGCCGGCGGCCUCCCCCGAAGUCUCUCAGUGGGAGGUCAGCCGAGCUCGCGACCCGAGUUCUCUCUCGCUCGCUCUUCGAUUCCUCCCCCGAAGUCUCUCAGUGGGAAGAUCUCGGAGCUCGCUCGUGCUCUUCGUCGUCGACAUCGGGGGCUAUUUAUAGGCGAGGGGGUGGCCGGUCGACGGAACUUCGACCGCCGGUCCCCUUCGCGCACCGAGCGGCCCUCGACGGCCAAACCGGUGUCCCAUCCGAGCUUAUCCAGUGAAGCGUGCUCGGCAUUGAUGGCGCCCGAGAUCUUAUCCUCUCCGGUCGACGUCGGCCUACUCCCCUCGGCCGUAGGCCGUCCUUUGCGCGCGUCGUCGUCUUCUGCGCGUGAACUACAGAGGCGGAGAAAGAAGGAGCGAGGAAGAAGAAGAGGGAAGAAGAAG